GCUCUCAUAUAGCUCAGCUGGCAGAGCAUGAAACUCUUAAUCUCAAGGUUGUGGGUUUGAGCCCAGCGUUGGGCA